GGGGGUAUACCGCGGGUCCGGUUGCAUUGCAAAAGGAACCACAAAUAUUCUGGUUCAGUUUACAGAAUGGAAGUGCAAGUCACCCUUGCACAGAAGCUUGGCACGCAGACCAGUUUGAGUUCUUAACUCAAUUAGCUUUGAUAGGCUGACAGCAUACAAAUUUCAUUCCGGCUAAUUCUAGAUAGACAACACAUCGGCCAUAGCCACACUACUUGUUUACUCAUGUCAGGUAAGUUCAAGUGCAGCCAUCCAGUGCACUGGCCACAUUCUCAGUUUCUCACUUUCUCAUUGAGAUGAACCUCCAGGCUCUAGGCCUUCUAUCAGCUCCCAGUCAGACAGAGCAUCUCUGGUCUUGAUGCCGCCGCCUCCGGCAGGGUGAUCGUCGCCUUGUACAGGUGCAGAUGGAGAAAUGGACAGAUUUGCUCCCAAUUCUUGAGCAUCACGAGCAUGGGACGCCACACCAGCUGCAAGCUCCGCCACCUACCAGGUGAUGUUAGGAUCAGGCAUUACCUGCCAUCUUCUGCAGGACAAUCAAGGCCUCACUGACCUGCCCAGCAACAACAAAUCCAUGAAUUAGUGCUCCAAAUGUAAUGUAACCACACCUGGAGUAUGCCCUC
rnacentral:lncRNA from 1 species